CCUCCCACAAGCUGUUGUUCAGCAACAAGAUGCCAUCAGUGUGGCUUUCUUGAACGGAGGCUGGAAGUUCGACAAGUGUUACCCUGGUAGUACUCUAGUUUCUCCUUGCUGAAAAUCUACCUAAACAGGGAUCCAAAAGGGAUGCUUUCAGAUGAACUGGAUGGAAGCAAAAUUGAGAUAUCUUGGCAAACAAUCUCCUCCUCUUCCUCCUCCUUUUUGGACAGAGGUCAAGAAGGCAAAAGCUCAAUUAGAUUAAAAUCCAAUUGUCUGAAUAUAUCUAGAAUAUUUGAGAGGCUUGGUGUAUCUCCUUCAAGUUUCUGCUAGCCACCAAAAUUGGACACCAAUCCAUUCAGUAUCCAGGGAAGAGGACUGAUCAACAGUCACGACAGCUACAGGCAAACUCCCAAGUAUUUGAUGUCAGGGUGUUUUUCUGUUUCGAAAGGUCUCUUUUGAAGAUGCAGUUUGUUUGGGUUUUCGUCACUGG